GGAGGGGGGCAGGGUGUCUUGAGUUUUCACCAGAGCCUAUCGCAGGGUUGCCAGGAAGCCAGUGGCCUACUUCAGAGUCACAGUGUUACACUUGGACCUACGUGGUUAUCACCAAAAUGAGGUUUCAAACACACUGUCCUGUUGGGGUUUAUUAUGAGGAAUUGGCUCACGUGAUUAUGGAAGCUGAGAAGUCCUAAGAUCUACUGUCUGAAGGCUGGAGAUCCAGGAAAGCCAGUGGUGAAGUCCAAUCUGAAUCCCCAAAGGCCUGAGGACCAGAGUGCAUGGUGUAAAUCCCUGUCCAAGGGCAGGAGAAGACAGAUGUCCCAGCUCAAGCAGUCAGGUCCUGGAAGGAUGACCUUGGUGUGAAAACUGGAGGGCUCAGGAGCGUUUGACAACCUGUUUAUGUCACUGAGAACACGUAUGCCAGCCAACAGUGCCCCGUCCCCAGGAUAUACUACUUCCCCAAACUUCUUUUCUGCUUGGUCAAUCUGUUACAUUCUCAAGAGAAGAUAACUGCAGACCUGACCUGACCUGAUUCGGGCCUCCUUGGGAAGAAUCUGGCCUCGAAGGACCUUCCCGGCCCAAAUGGCCGCUUACAGACAUUCUUCCCC